AAAACCAUCACCCAAAAUGCCUUGUCUCCAUGAAACCUUGCAUUUCCUCGUCAUCAAAAUUCGAAAGACUCUAUCCAAAGCAUCCUCCAAAUUGAUUUUAGUGCUUGAAUCCUCAACCAACACACUGGAGACUAAAUUCACUAAAGAUCAGUUUUCAUUACCCAAUGGUUGUUUCAUUAACUUGCAAACCGGAAUACAGCCUUCUCAUCCCUGAACCUAAAGGUAAAUUUGCUUGCUUUAGUAUCAACUAAAGCUCUCUAGGUAGCAAGGAAUGGUUUAAGAAUAAUGGGAACCUCAAAGUCCACCACACAGUCAAAGAUCACAAAGUCCACAAGAGAAGAUGAAUUUAUCAACUUUCAUAAGCACAUCCUGUAGAAUUCCCAUAGGGCUUUUGAUAGAACGAUCCUCCAUUUGUAAUUUCAUAGAAGUAGGUCUCAACUUGCCAAGUCCCAAAGUCAUAUACACUUUUACACCCUUUGUAUAAAUAACAUAAAUCCCAAUCCUAUUAAACAUAUUUACCUUCUCUCCCAUCUUCUUAAUUAAUUUCUUCUCUUUCCCGAUUAAUAUACAUAAUUCAACCGUUAUAUACAUAAGACCCUAUGCAUAUGAAAAUCUAAUUAUGACGUUUUUAAUAGGAAAUUAACUGAUCUUCCUUCUAUUUAGCACACAAUUAAUUCAAUCACAUUAAUGAUUGAUUACUACAUUCCUUAAUUUGUAUAACAGCUAUACUAUUUCAAAUUUUGAAAACAACAAUACAUAAACAAAAAAAUCAAUCAAAAAAUAAAAAUCACAAACAAUCUAAUCACUGAUUUAUCAUCUUUUAGAAAAAAAAUCUGAAUUUUGUUUUUCAAGAAGAUAAAUAUUGCAAUUCUUUUGGAGGCAUUUAGGUGUUUGGCAGUUCGAAAAUACAAUAAGAACGAUACAAAAAGUGUCGAAAUUAUUGUUGCGAAUAUUUCGUGUUUGAGGUUGAUAUAUGAAAUUGUGGCUGAAUUAGAGAUUGAGGACUUCCAUAUAAAUAACAUAAAUCCCAAGAUAUGUAUAACCUAAUGGGUGUAGAUUUUUGUGUUAAUGGAUAAAUUCCUCCAUUCUGUUACUACUGCUAUCCAUGACGAAGAAGAAAGGAAAAAGAAUCUUUUUGUUCGUUGCUUUUUUUUUUUUUUUUAAAAAAAAUAUUUAUGUAUGAAUUUUUUGUUUGUAUAGCUUCUUCUUUAUUAAUGGUUGCUCACUCUCUCUAUUAUUAUUGUUACUUGAAUUUUUAAGGAAGAAAAAAUGGUGUUCUAUUUUUUCUAAUGGAGGAAGAAAAAAAUGCGUUAAUCCUUAAUUCUUUUUUAUUUUUUCUCUAUUUUUUAGUUUGUCUCCCAUUGGUUACUGUGUAUAUUCUCUCCUUAAUGGCUGCUUUCUUUUUCUUGACUUUGUUUAUGUAUAUUUGUAACUUUAUUUUGUUGUUCUCCUUUUAUAAAAGGUGAAAAAGAUUUGUGAUCGGAGAUGUGAAUUUGCAAAAUUCAGUUAUGUAUAUAUUUGUUUGAUUUCUUUAACACACCAUAUGCAUAACUAUUCAGAAACAAUCUUUAUUUAGGAACAACAUAUACAUAUCAUCAGUAUAUGUUGAUAUACAAAACAUAUGACAACGUUAAAAAUAUAAAGUUAUUAUGUAUAUGAAAACACAUAGAAAACAACUUGUUAUGUGUUGUAAAUAUUUAUACUAAUAUAUACAUGAUCAAACUAUGCAUAUACAAACAUAUAUGUGUAGUAAAAGAGUUCAAAAGUAUUAGAUAUACUAAUUAUAUUUAGUUUGUUUAUUUCAGCUAUGGUUUUCAAUGAUACACUGAUAUAUAAAAGAUAAUCGAAAAACCUAAAAAUGGGAGGAAGAAGAAAUCAAGCGAAA
rnacentral:lncRNA from 1 species